CAAAGCCAAUAAUAACUGGCAAAGAAAAACAAAACCUAGCUUUCGCUGCCUAAUAAGCAGUAGCAUAGCUGAUCCUCCGUGCAUCGCCCAUGUGCUACGGUAAGGGUCUCACUCUAAGUGGGCUACACUAGUUAAUCUCCGUCUGGGGUUAAAUAGAAGAGCUUAAUCAGACUAGCUGAAUGGAAGCCUGUUACCGGGCCGAUGUUUAUGCGAAAUGCUAAUACGGUGACUACGCUCGUAGAUAUUU
rnacentral:tmRNA from 1 species